rnacentral:rRNA from 1 species
GAGUUUGAUCCUGGCUCAGGAUGAACGCUGGCGGCGUGCUUAAUACAUGCAAGUCGAACGGGGAUUUUGUAUUCGUACGAAAUCUUAGUGGCGAACGGGUGAGUAACGCGUUGGUGACCUGCCCCGAAGAGAGGGACAACAGUUCGAAAGGACUGCUAAUACCUCAUGUGGUCGUAAGGGUUAGAUAUCUUACGUCUAAACGGAGUAAUCCGCUUCGGGAGGGGCCUGCGUCCCAUCAGCUAGUUGGUAGGGUAAUGGCCUACCAAGGCGACGACGGGUAGGGGACCUGAGAGGGUGACCCCCCACACUGGCACUGAAACACGGGCCAGACACCUACGGGUGGCAGCAGUAGGGAAUAUUGCACAAUGGGCGAAAGCCUGAUGCAGCAACGCCGCGUGCACGAUGAAGGCCUUCGGGUCGUAAAGUGCUUUUCGGGGAGAUGAGAGAGGACAGUAUCCCCGGAAUAAGGAUCGGCUAACUACGUGCCAGCAGCCGCGGUAAAACGUAGGAUCCGAGCGUUAUCCGAAUUUACUGGGCGUAAAGCGCGUGCAGGCGGUUCGGUAAGUUGGAUGUGAAAUCUCCUGGCUCAACUGGGAGAGGUCGUUCAAUACUGUCGGACUAGAGGGUAGGAGAGGGAGGUGGAAUUCCCGGUGUAGUGGUGAAAUGCGUAGAUAUCGGGAGGAACACCUGUGGCGAAAGCGGCCUCCUGGCCUAUUCCUGACGCUCAGACGCGAAAGCUAGGGGAGCAAACGGGAUUAGAAACCCCGGUAGUCCUAGCUGUAAACGAUGUGAACUUGGCGUUGGUGGGGUAAAAGCCAUCAGUGCCGAAGCUAACGCGAUAAGUUCACCGCCUGGGGACUACGGCCGCAAGGUUAAAACUCAAAGGAAUUGACGG